ensembl:misc_RNA 7SK 7SK RNA
GGAUGUGAGGGCGAUCUGGCUGCGACAUCUGUCACCCCAUUGAUCGCCAGGGUUGAUUCGGCUGAUCUGGCUGGCUAGGUGGGUGUCCCCCUCCUCCCUCACCGAUCCAUGUGCGUCCCUCCCGAAGCUGCGCGCUCGGUCGAAGAGGACGACCUUCCCCCGGAGGAGAGGACCGGUCUUCGGUCAAGGGUAUACGAGUAGCUGCGCUCCCCUGCUAGGACCUCCAAAACAAGCUCUCUAAAUAAGGGGAUAGUUUUCCUUAGCUACCCAAAAUUUGAAAUUGAGGGGUGUUCAUAAUU